UACGGAAGGCAGCAGUGGGGAAUAUUGCACAAUGGGCGCAAGCCUGAUGCAGCCAUGCCGCGUGUAUGAAGAAGGGCCUUCGGGUUGUAAAGUACUUUCAGUCGUGAGGAAGGUGUUAAGGUUAAUAACCUUAGCAAUUGACGUUAGCGACAGAAGAAGCACCGGCUAACUCCGUGCCAGCAGCCGCGGUAAUACGGAGGGUGCGAGCGUUAAUCGGAAUUACUGGGCGUAAAGGGCACGCAGGCGGUUAAUUAAGUUGGAUGUGAAAUCCCCGGGCUUAACCUGGGAAUGGCAUUCAAGACUGGUUAGCUAGAGUCUUGUAGAGGGGGUAGAAUUCCAUGUGUAGCGGUGAAAUGCGUAGAGAUGUGGAGGAAUACCGGGUGGCGAAGGCGGCCCCUGGGACAAAGACUGACGCUCAUGUGCGAAAGCGUGGGGAGCAAACAGGGAUUAGAUACC
rnacentral:rRNA from 1 species